ACGGCGGGCUUGGGUGGAGGCGGGUCGCGCGGCGGGGCUAGGGUUGAGGUGGGUCGCGCGGCGGCGGGCCUAGGGUGGCGGUGGGACGCGCGGCGGCCGGGAUGGGGGGAGGAGGGUCUCGCGGAGGCGGAAGGGGCUAGGGCCGGCGGAGGGAGGUGGUGCGCGGCGGCAGGAGGAAGGGGUUGCGGCCGGCGGCGGGAGGUGGUGCGCGGCGGGAGGAGGAAGGGGCCGCGGCCGGCGGAGGGAGGUGGUGCGCGGCGGGAGGAGGAAGGGGACGCGGCCGGUGGAUGGAGGUAGCACGUCUAGGUGCGGUAGGGGCAUGAGGAGGAAGAAGGACGACCCUCUAGAGCACGCGGCGGGAGACCGUCGGCCACUACGAAGGGGCGGUGGUAAGACGGAGGAAGGGCUACCCCGUUGCUACGGCGCGCAUGUCCUUCAAGUAGCGGCGGUGGAGUCCGGCAAGUUACAGCUGCAGAACCUGCGCGGUACGAGGUUGCGGUACCGAACCCGAAGUCGUCGUUUGUUACCUCGGAUGUCCCCCUCGGCGCCCCAACUCCUGCAGGACAAGCUAUCAUGUUGACGAACGAGCCGGCGGCCAGUGAGUUCCUCGAACAGUAACGGAUGGCACGUUGGUAGUUCGCACACGAUUAACACUGACUCCAACGUGACGGGUCGUUAUGUCCGUCGUCAAAGUGUGAUGUCCAUUUACUGUAACGGAGACCCUAUUAAUAGAACGUUUACUAGUCGUUCUUCUAAAUGUCAAAUAAAUACACAAAUAAAUCGAGGUGGGUUAUGACAUUUUUACGUACUCAGAUUAUGGGACACCGGAUCGACUGGCUUAAUCGUACGUUCGAAGAGGAAAGUGGUACUUUAUUUACUAUCUAAGUUGUCAACGAUCCAUUUAGUGUUUAGAUAAAUGAUCUACAUAAUGAUGGGAUGUAAGUACAGCAGUCUUUUCAGGUACAUAAUGAUGGUACCCUCAAGUUUCUUUCCAGUAGAUAUUUUAUCAUAUUGAACACUCGAAGAACGUCUGAUUACUACUCAAUGAUCUAUUUGAAUCCGUGGUGUGGUGUCAGGUAAGUGACGGCGUAGGCUCCGACAAGUUACUACGUUGUUGCUCCAGACCGGAGGGGGGAAGGAUAAAAGUACUUCGUAUAAGACGUUUUUAUAGUCUGCGAGAGUUGACUUAUUUUUCACACAGCGUGUUCAAGUCCAUAUUGACGACGUCCUCAAGUUUUUAGAGUUGUUUGUUUCGAGUUUGGUUUCAAGUUCUUGACAAAGGAAGUAUUUGAUCAAAAGAAAAGCAAUUAAACAACAAGACCUGUAAUGUCUACAUGUAAGAAGUGGUUCAGCUCGUCGUUUCAACAGCGUGGUUUAGCUUGAACGACGACGUGGUAGAAGUGGUUCAGCUUGAACGUCGUCGGUCCAUGGUAUCAGCGAGUUGAACUAGAGAGACCAUCGAGUAGGCCGUUCUGACGAGUUACCAUACUGAAGAAACGUGUUUUAGUCUAGACCAUCAAACAGACUCUCUGUGUAAACAAGACAUAGCAUGACGUGGAACACGAGGGAAGUAGGGUAGGUACGAAUCUACUCUAAAAAGACACGUUAGUCUGAACCCGAUCCCAGUUUUUUAACCACUAGAAUCAAGACUUAACGACCCGUACGUUGAGGAGCAAACAAUUAACGAUUCACUAUCAGACUUGUUAGCUAUUCCCUCGGCGACACGUAAUGAUAACUUUGUGUUCCAACAACGUAAAGAGUUUUUUUUCAGAUUUGGUUCCCUCGGCGACACGUGGUUAGGAGGGGCGGCGCGCCGCUGGUGGAGACAGCGGGGCUCAAGGGUCGACGUACGUAAGUCCUCGUUCUUUUUUCUCUCCAAUUAACAGGCAGGUGUGACGGAGAGGAGGGUUCAGGUGUGAUCAAAAUAGUGUUUUUCGUCUCCUACAGAUAAAAUAAAGGACUUUGUGUUUCAUCCACAAGAGUCAAGUCAUGCACUCGAUAGAGUUCAAGAACCUUUUGUAUAUUUUAUCAUGCCACAAACACGUUUUUUAAGUCUGACAAAAGAUUAAUAUGUCGUCAAAUGAUUUACCAUCUUAACAUCAACAAGUCAUUUUUCCAAGUGAUGGGGUUUACCCCCUAAAAGUUAGGCAAAACAGAAAGAAAAGGUCGACUUUCAACAUCGUUUACACUUGACUUCGACAACACCUCGUUUAAUCCUUAUCAACGGAUGAGAAAACGGCGACGAUGGAACGGUGGAUCUAAUUAUGAUGAUGAUGAUGAAUAGCACAACGAUUUGGAGCACAAGACCUGUUAAACACCCUUUCACACCUCCGCGUUCAACGAGGCGCUGGCUCCUUCCGGGGCCACGAACGGUACGGACUUCUGCCGGAGGUUGGCGGCCCGGGUUUCGUCGGUCGGAAACAAGAGUACGCGCAGAGGAAGGACGCAGUGGAUCCAUACGCGGUGGUGGGCGGCACGAGCUACGAAGGAUGAGGGUAUCGGCAGGAGUCAAGUUGGGGUACCGCAGCUCUACCAGCUCAAUCAGCGCUCGUCGUCAGGCGGCAUGGAUCUUUGACCUAAAAAUAGACGUUUUAGUCAAGUGGCAUGGAUCUUGUUGGUCAAGCUAGGUAGAGGACUAAGACUUUUAUACUUAACACAAAUGACGGUUUUAACUACGAGAUAUCAAGUGUUACAUAUAUACAGUAGUCAAGUUUUUUCUGCAUGUCUUUUUUCAAGUUAAUAUACACAAUUUUGGUUCAAACCAAAAGAUGAUAUACAGUCUAAUAAUGUUUUCUAAAACGAGUACACCGACAUUCGAGAUUGGUAUACCGUUGUUUCUCUUUUUACUCAUACUUCAUAACAACAAAGGCAUAACAAUUCAAGUCAUACAUAAGGUAAAAGUCAUGCAUUUGUUUGUGUGUCCUAGAAAUACUCUCGUUUUUGAUGUUUUACCUUUAGACAUUCAAGUUGAUGUAUAUAAUGUUGUUAACUUUUAUGUUUUUUAAUGUAGUCAAGUUACUGUCUUUUUGUACUCAAGCUUUUCAAAAACUGAGAACUUGACUAUCGACUUUCUAUGCUAUACACAUGACAACUAUUAGAGUUUGUACACAAUGAGUUGAAAUCUUUUGUACAUUUUAACAACACGACGAAACGUUACAGAGGUCGUCAGGAUGAAGAGGUACUGCUGUUCCUGCUGCAGCGGUACGCACGUGCGAGGUUGGACAGGGGACAGCGUCGGGGUGGUGAGCUACGGCUACGUGAGGUUGGGCUCCUGGUGGUACUACCUCCAGCGGAGUGUCGGAUCGCUGCUCACAAACAACCAAAGAGAAAGUAAAUGCCUGUAGAACCCGAACGACCCACGUCUUAGUUCUUCGGGUUAGUAGUAGUCCCUACUUUUUUCCUCUCUUCGUGCCCUUCUCCAUGAUCAUCUUCUCCUUCUUCAUUACACUUUUUACUCUAUUUACACUCUUAUCGUUCAUCAUUUCGUACUCUCCCUAAGUCUAAAACAAAAGUGUAAGAACGACAUGUGCAUGGAAACCAGACAUCUACGUGGCAUUACCUAGAUCCUUCAUACUUACCAAUUAUGGAGUUACCACGUGAUACGUAGAAACCGUCCAAAAAUACGUAAAAAUUUACCAACACCUCGUUAAAUUACCACGCGAUACGUGACUUCAUAUGUAACAAAUAUACAAGAACAUGAGC
rnacentral:rRNA from 1 species